rnacentral:rRNA from 1 species
CGUAUGCAACCUACCUUGUACAGGAGGAUAGCUCGGGGAAACUCGAAUUAACCCUCCAUAGUAUCGCGAGAUGGCAUCAUUUUGCGAUUAAAACCAGAGUGGUACAAGCUGGGCAUGCGUCUGAUUAGUUAGUUGGCGGGGUAACGGCCCACCAAGACGAUGAUCAGUAGGGGAACUGAGAGGUUGAUCCCCCACACUGGCACUGAGAUACGGGCCAGACUCCUACGGGAGGCAGCAGUAGGGAAUAUUGGUCAAUGGAUGGAAGUCUGAACCAGCCAUGCCGCGUGCAGGAAGAAGGCCUUCUGGGUUGUAAACUGCUUUUGCCAGGGGAUAAAGAGCCCAUGCGUGGGAAAUUGAAGGUACCUGGUGAAUAAGCCACGGCUAACUACGUGCCAGCAGCCGCGGUAAUACGUAGGUGGCAAGCGUUGUCCGGAUUUAUUGGGUUUAAAGGGUGCGUAGGCGGCCUUAUAAGUCAGUGGUGAAAU